GGUUUAAAGGGAGCGCAGGCCGCCGGGCAAGCGUGUUGUGAAAUGCAGUCGCUCAACGUCUGCACUGCAGCGCGAACUGCCCAGCUUGAGUGCGCGCAACGUUGGCGGAAUUCGCCGUGUAGCGGUGAAAUGCUUAGAUAUGGCGAAGAACUCCGAUUGCGAAGGCAGCUGACGGGUGCGUAACUGACGCUCAUGCUCGAAAGUGCGGGUAUCGAACAGGAUUAGAUACCCUGGUAGUCCGCACGGUAAACGAUGGAUGCCCGCUAUUCGGCCCAUGCGGUUGAGUGGCCAAGCGAAAGCGUUAAGCAUCCCACCUGGGGAGUACGCCGGCAACGGUGAAACUCAAAGGAAUUGACGGGGGCCCGCACAAGCGGAGGAACAUGUGGUUUAAUUCGAUGAUACGCGAGGAACCUUACCCGGGCUUGAAUUGCAGCCGAACGAUCCAGAGAUGGUGAGGCCCUUCGGGGCGGCUGUGAAGGUGCUGCAUGGUUGUCGUCAGCUCGUGCCGUGAGGUGUCGGCUUAAGUGCCAUAACGAGCGCAACCCCUCUCCCCAGUUGCCAUCGGGUAAUGCCGGGCACUCCGGGGACACUGCCACCGUAAGGUGCGAGGAAGGUGGGGAUGACGUCAAAUCAGCACGGCCCUUACGUCCGGGGCUACACACGUGUUACAAUGGCCGGUACAGAGAGCCGGGUCUGCGCAAGCAGUCUCCAAUCCCAAAAGCCGGCCUCAGUUCGGACUGGGGUCUGCAACCCGACCCCACGAAGCUGGAUUCGCUAGUAAUCGCGCAUCAGCCAUGGCGCGGUGA
rnacentral:rRNA from 1 species